rfam:Stegodyphus mimosarum contig85732, whole genome shotgun sequence.
GCCUUUGUGGUGUAGUGGUCUGCAUGCUCGGCGCGUAAACGAGAGAUCCGUGGUUCGAUUCCCGGCGAAGGCG